rnacentral:tRNA from 1 species
GGGCCUGUAGCUAAGUCUGGUACAGCACCGGGCUCAUAACCCGGCGAUGCCUUGGUUCGAAUCCGAGCGGGCCCA